ACUGUGCUUUCAGUCGUUGGUACGGGAAUGUGGAUAAGUUUUCAAAUCCUUAGCGAAGAAGUAUCACGUUUUCUUCUGAGAGAGAGAGAGAGAAUUAGGUAUUUCUUCGUUGUUCGCUCUGAAUAAUUGCGCCGCGACCUCGAUUGAUUGCUUCUUCGCAGUCGAACAACUUUCGUCGGCGAAGGAACUGAAGGAUCUACAAAUCCAACCGCAACAGAAAUGUAUGCUCCUCCUUAUGAACAGCGGAUCUCCUACGUUACUUACGUCGAGCACGUCAAGAGACGCCAUGAGCACAGAGGCUGCCUCUAUGCCUGUGUAUUCGCACUUUGUUGCUGUUUCUGCUGUUUCGAGACUUGCGAGUGCUGUCUGGAGUCUGUUUGUUGUUGCUGCGAUUGAUUGAGCGAUCGAAUCCAUUACCGAUCGAUUGUUCAUGAAUGAAGAGGAGAUCGGAAAGAAAAGAAAUUGAAGUUCAAGAGAUGGAUGUAACGUGUUUGAUUCGAGUCGUUGUUCUAGUUCUAGUUAAUUUAUCCUCUGUUUGAAUGUUUUCAACUGGACGGAAGCGAGAUGCGAUUUCUUGGUUCGAUUAAAGAAAUUGUAUUAUAUAUUUAGUUGAGCUAAUUAAUCAUGACUAAUAUUUCCGGAUUUUUUGUUGUAAUGUAAUUUUUGUCUUUCUUU